rnacentral:tRNA from 2 species
UUUUAGUAGCUUAUUAAGAGCAUAAUAUUGAAGAUAUUAAGGAGAUAUUAAAUCUUAAAGUAU